AUUGAACGCUGGCGGCAGGCCUAACACAUGCAAGUCGAACGAGUGGCGGACGGGUGAGUAAUGUCUGGGAAACUGCCCGAUGGAGGGGGAUAACUACUGGAAACGGUAGCUAAUACCGCAUACCAUCGGAUGUGCCCAGAUGGGAUUGGCUAUUAGGUGGGGUAAUGGCACACCUAGGCGACGAUCCCUAGCUGGUCUGAGAGGAUGACCAGCCACACUGGAACUGAGACACGGUCCAGACUGCUACGGUAGGCAGCAGUGGGGAAUAUGGCGCAAGGGGCGGAAGCCUGAUGCAGCCAUGCCGCGUGUAUGAAGAAGGCCUUCGGGUUGUAAAGUACUUUCAGCGAGGAGGCGUUACUCGCAGAAGAAGCACCGGCUAACUCCGUGCCAGCAGCCGCGGUAAUAC
rnacentral:rRNA from 1 species